rnacentral:tRNA from 1 species
GCUUCCUUAGCAAUCUGGUGAAUGCAGCAAACUCAUAAUUUGCCUAAGGAGAGUUCGAUCCUCUCAGGAAGCA